ACCAGGAGAGGGCAGGUGUCUAACACCAUGAGAGGGCAGGUGUCUAACAUCAGGAAGGGGCAGGUCUAACAUCAGGUUAGGUCAGGUAUUUAUACCAGAAAAGGUCAGGUCUAACAUCAGGUUAGGUCAGGUUUUUAUACCAGGAGGGGGCAGGUCUAACACCAGAAGAGGGCAGGUCUAACACCAGGAGAGGGCAGGUGUCUAACACCAGGAGAGGGCAGGUGUCUAACACCAGGAGAGGGCAGGUGUCUAACACCAGGAGAGGGCAGGUCUAACACCAGGAGAGGGCAGGUCUAACACCAGGAGAGGGCAGGUCUAACACCAGGAGAGGGCAGGUGUCUAACACCAGGAAGGGGCAGGUCUAACAUCAGGAGAGGGCAG
ensembl:lncRNA